rnacentral:rRNA from 1 species
GAGCGGCGGACGGGUGAGUAAUGCCUAGGAAUCUGCCUGGUAGUGGGGGAUAACGUUCGGAAACGAACGCUAAUACCGCAUACGUCCUACGGGAGAAAGCAGGGGACCUUCGGGCCUUGCGCUAUCAGAUGAGCCUAGGUCGGAUUAGCUAGUUGGUGAGGUAAUGGCUCACCAAGGCGACGAUCCGUAACUGGUCUGAGAGGAUGAUCAGUCACACUGGAACUGAGACACGGUCCAGACUCCUACGGGAGGCAGCAGUGGGGAAUAUUGGACAAUGGGCGAAAGCCUGAUCCAGCCAUGCCGCGUGUGUGAAGAAGGUCUUCGGAUUGUAAAGCACUUUAAGUUGGGAGGAAGGGCAGUUACCUAAUACGUGAUUGUUUUGACGUUACCGACAGAAUAAGCACCGGCUAACUCUGUGCCAGCAGCCGCGGUAAUACAGAGGGUGCAAGCGUUAAUCGGAAUUACUGGGCGUAAAGCGCGCGUAGGUGGUUUGUUAAGUUGGAUGUGAAAUCCCCGGGCUCAACCUGGGAACUGCAUUCAAAACUGACUGACUAGAGUAUGGUAGAGGGUGGUGGAAUUUCCUGUGUAGCGGUGAAAUGCGUAGAUAUAGGAAGGAACACCAGUGGCGAAGGCGACCACCUGGACUAAUACUGACACUGAGGUG